rnacentral:lncRNA from 1 species
GCUUCCGUUAAUACAAGAAAAAAAAGAGAAGAAAAGCUCGGGUCGAUAGAAGACCUUUCAAACCAACUUAUAAUCUAUUUAUGUAAUGCAACUGCUUAAUUAACUCGUUUGACAUAUUACGAGUGUUUAUUUCGUGAAUUGGGUAACAUUUUGGAGCCAUCGGAGAGAUAUCUUCGUCAUAUACUAUAUACGGUAUGUUGGCGAGUUGCCAAGAAGUGAAUGGGCGAAUUUGUACAAAACUAUUAUCAAUAAAGUUGUGGCAAGAUGGCUGAACAGAAGGAUUUUGAAGAAUUACAGCUCAUGGAAAUGGAAGGAAGCUACUUUCGUUCUCAACUACUGAAGUAGUACGAUCGGCUCUACAGUUUCAGGUUCAUUUACAGAUUCAUAUUCAGAUUUGAAUUUCCACAUACAAAAUGUAGAAUUACUUAUAAAUCGUAGAAUUACGGAUCCAUCUUCAGACUUUUGCGCAUUUGAGAAAACUAUUUUUAAGCCGGUUUUUAGCGCAUGAUGUGAAGUCGGGAAAAAUCGUAGAAACGCGUGAUACGCGUGUAGUUCCCCAAUUUCUGAAAGACGUUCACUAUUAAUACACUAUAGUGAAUGGUAUAAAGCGUAAAAUGUUUGUAGUUUUGUCAGGAAAAAUCGCAACACCGACAACAUUUACGGAUCAUGAUUCAUGAGGCACGGCUUUUGCCUUUUGCAACCUGAAGCGAACGUCAAUAACCUAUUAACCGCAGCUGAGUGAACAAACCUGACGUGUCACAUGCUUCUAAGAAAGACCAUAGUUAACACAGACGACCGUAUUAACUAUGCCAUAAAAAGACAUUCAUCUACAACUAUCACAAAAGACAAGUCUUUGUCAACAAGUCAAAAGGAAAUUGAAAGUCAUACGGAAAACCGAAAAUGGUAUGGAAGCAGUGACACACAGAGUGGUAGUGAACCUCUCUACUACUGGUAAAAUGAAGUACUUAUCGGAUGGAAUGGACAAUCAGUUCAAUGAUGAGCCCCACCAAAUGAUUGAAACUUAACACGACACAAAUAACGAGGAAAAUAUGGGUAAUUCUUAAAGUGAAACAAGGUAAUCUUACUGUUUAUAGAUAAGAGUUUAAAAUAAUUGGUAUAAUUUGAUAGUCAAAAAGAUAGACUGCCAUUUGCCAGACAGUCGGUCAACAUGACAAAUUGACACUGGGAAGGCGGUAAAAGGAUACCCUCAAAAUGAGAUGAUUAUUAAAGCAGCUGUACAUGCAAUAAGUCCAACUUUGAAACUUCAACACAUGUUGAAACAAUCAAAGAACUGGAACUGUUAUUGCGAGUAUUAAAAGCACAUUAUAAGCAGAAAAGUGCAACUGAGUCAUACCAGGAACUAAACAGCACAAGAUUUCCUUGUAAGGACAUUAGAUUUACGACGAAUGAGUACAGCAGCAAAUGACACCCAAGGAUACCUGCUUGUGUAUCAUGUCAAAAACAAGGAAAGAAUGACUGCUAUCAUUGCUAUAUUUGAGGUUCGGGUGAGCAUUAUGCCAGAGGGUGCAAGCGACAGUCUAUGGAAAGCGGACAGGGACUACCACUGAGGGACAGGAAGUAGUUGAAAACAGAAGUGAAAAGUCACAGUUGUGUGCAAGUUGUGGGAAAAGACAAUUUACUACUACUAUAAAGAUCUGCUCAAAGUGUAAGACUGUUUGUUAUUGUACAAAGAAAUUAGUAAAAACUGUGAUGUUUAAUAUUUACCAGAAAACCUUCAGGGGCUGAUUACAUGAGCCGAGUUGUUCUGGCUAGCGGAGGUGAGUCAAUUUUACAGAUACCAAGGCUUCUACAGUAAAUACUAUUACAAACAAUAAUGUGAUUAUAUGGGUAACAGGCUAACUCACCUGGGCAAGACCUCGCUUGUUGACAACCAAGACAACUCGGUUGGCUGAGUUGAAAAUUUUGCAUUUUCCCCAUGUAAUUGCAUUUUGCUGAGUUGUCCGGGUAAAGCACCAGAAAACUCACACACAUGCAGUUUUAGUUUUGAGAAUGUAAACAAAUAUAUAAGUUUAAAAACUCUAACACCAGAAUGCUGUUUUUGUGUUUCAAUAUUAAUUAAGCACUUUUAAGUAUGGGACAGUGAAGUCACUGCAUUUUACGAGAAUUAUACGAGCGGCCAAUACUAAAUAUAAUUGCCGCAAUCAACACCGUUCUGUGCAUGAGGAAACCCUAAAAUACAACAUAUAUAAACC